rnacentral:rRNA from 1 species
UACAGAGGGUGCAAGCGUUGUUCGGAAUUAUUGGGCGUAAAGGGCGUGUAGGCGGUCUGCUAAGUCAUGUGUGAAAUCCCUCGGCUUAACCGAGGAACGACGCAUGAAACUGGCAAGCUAGAGUACCAAAGAGGGGGGUGGAAUUCCCGGUGUAGCGGUGAAAUGCGUAGAUAUCGGGAAGAACACCCGUGGCGAAGGCGGUUCUCUGGGACGGUACUGACGCUGAGACGCGAAAGCGUGGGGAGCGAACAGG